GUCUUCAUAGUUUAUUUAAAACACUAGUCUUGUAAACUAAAACUGCAAACUUUUGCUGAUGACU